GACGAACGCUGGCGGCGUGCUUAACACAUGCAAGUCGAACGGAAAGGCCCUGCUUUUGUGGGGUGCUCGAGUGGCGAACGGGUGAGUAACACGUGAGUAACCUGCCCUUGACUUUGGGAUAACUUCAGGAAACUGGGGCUAAUACCGGAUAGGAGCUCCUGCUGCAUGGUGGGGGUUGGAAAGUUUCGGCGGUUGGGGAUGGACUCGCGGCUUAUCAGCUUGUUGGUGGGGUAGUGGCUUACCAAGGCUUUGACGGGUAGCCGGCCUGAGAGGGUGACCGGCCACAAUGGGACUGAGAUACGGACCAGACGCCUACGGGAGACAGCAGUGGGGAAUAUUGCACAGUGGGCGGAAGCGUGAUGAGGCAGCGCCGCGUGCGGAAUGACGGCCUUCGGGUUGUAAACCGCUUUCGCCUGUGACGAAGCGGGAGUGACGGUAAUGGGUAAAGAAGCACCGGCUAACUACGUG
rnacentral:rRNA from 1 species